rnacentral:rRNA from 1 species
UUAGUGGCGGACGGGUGAGUAACGCGUGGAUAACCUGCCGUAUACAGGGGGAUAACACUUAGAAAUAGGUGCUAAUACCGCAUAAGCGCACGGUUCCGCAUGGAACAGUGUGAAAAACUCCGGUGGUAUACGAUGGAUCCGCGCCUGAUUAGCCAGUUGGCGGGGUAACGGCCCACCAAAGCGACGAUCAGUAGCCGGCCUGAGAGGGUGAACGGCCACAUUGGGACUGAGACACGGCCCAAACUCCUACGGAAGGCAGCAG